UUUCUUUCGGUUAUAGGAGACACAUUUACACCGGAAGAACUUUAACAAAGGGCGACCAAAUUAGACAGAGGGAUUGCAGCCGAAUCACUCAUAAAACUUGAUUAAUUAUUUAUCACUAAAAAUAAAAAGACCUACUGUCUUUUUAUCCUUAUUUUAAAUUUUACUCAGAAAUAGUCCCAACGUUAUCGCCAUUUUGUAAAUACCCACCUCAGACAACACCAUCAAUCACACUCCUGAUAACAUUCAAGUAGGAAUUGGCGACGAAAAGACCGUAAAAACAAGGUGUAUAUAAAUAAGCUCGAAACACAGUGUUAAUAUAAAAAAAGGGGUUCGAAGUUCAAUGGGUCACCAAUUUUAAACAAGGAGUUAAAGCGAAAUUUCAGCAAGUUUCAUUUUUUGUUAAUAAAUUUCGAAUUGUACAAUCGCGUUUGCUUUUUUAUCAGUAAAAUCAUAAUUAAACCAAAAACGAGUUUGACUCGGACGAAUUUUGUAUUCCGCCCGGAUUUUCGUACUUUUGCCCGGUAAACAGAGGUAGCCUUUAAUUUCCAAGCAAAACCAAAGUUAACUUGCUCCGUGACGGAUUUUUCAAUAACCGAACUUAUCCCUGCAGAGGUAGUUUUGUUCUACUUGAUUUUAGACUUAACUUUGAUUUGCUAAAAUCAACUUAGUUCUUUGAUGAAAAGUUUGCACUAUGACAGUUUUCAAGUUAGUUUGCUUUGCUAAUUUGUUUGUAUGGGCGUUUUAAAGGGAUUGUUUCUAUUUCCGUUGCGUGGAUGAUGUGUCAAAUAGACAGCAGGAAUUGUGCAGCGUUCAAUGUCGGAAAGAAAUAUGUUGGCUACUCCUGGCUGAAAGGUAGCGACUUAAGGGUGAGGAGGGACUACGCUUAUAAAUCCGGUUCAUACAUCGACCCAAUCUACUAUAACAGAUUAAUGGGACCUAGGCAGCAACUACAACGAUGGUAUAACAAAUACUGACGCUAUGGAAAAGGCCAGUUUUUAACAGAUAAAUCUUCCUGUUGAAAAAUACCAUGUAUCAAAUUAAAAUAAACACAAAGCACAUAAUGAAAAAGUGAAAAUAUCAGUUACGCCCUCUGAAUGCAAUAAAUGUAUCUAUGUAAAAAAAAUACUUAGAAUUGUGUAUAAUAAAUAUGUUUUCUUUUGUUGUUCAAUCAGCAAUCUACCACAAAACAUUGAAACGAUACCAAGGUAGGUCUACAAUAUCAAUUUCAACAUAGUCAUAACAGUAACCAAAAAUAAAAAGUAGAAUCAACUUUCAUAGAUUUGAUACAUCUAUAUUAUUAGUGAAACAAUUGAAUGAAAGAAUGAACUAACAAAAGAAAAGUUUUUGAUGAUGGAUGAAACUGAACGAGGACAAAUGUACCCAAAUUACAUUCACGCUAAAACAAACAGCCUUGCCCAUAACGCCAAAAAUUUAAAUAAACCAACUGGACAAGUUGGCUCUGGAAAAGAUGAAAUUAAACUGAUUUGCUUUAUUAUUAAUCUAAAGGUUUUAAAAAGAAUAGUAACAAGUUGUUAAUAUUGUGUCUAUGUUUCAAGUCAAUUAUUAAUUUAUCACACCCCAACACACCAAGAACACUGCUUAUCAAAGACUGGUGCCAAAAAGUGGAGGACAUGACUGAAUGAAGGAAAAUGUACUCAGUGUACUUUCACAAGAAGAAACAUCUUGCCCUCCACUCAAGUCAAAUACCUAGG